rnacentral:rRNA from 1 species
AAUAGAUACCCGGGUAGUCCACGCCGUAAACGUUGGGCGCUAGAUGUGGGGACCAUUCCACGGUUUCCGUGUCGCAGCUAACGCAUUAAGCGCCCCGCCUGGGGAGUACGGCCGCAAGGCUAAAACUCAAAGGAAUUGACGGGGGCCCGCACAAGCGGCGGAGCAUGCGGAUUAAUUCGAUGCAACGCGAAGAACCUUACCAAGGCUUGACAUAUACGAGAACGCUCUAGAAAUAGAGAACUCUUUGGACACUCGUAUACAGGUGGUGCAUGGUUGUCGUCAGCUCGUGUCGUGAGAUGUUGGGUUAAGUCCCGCAACGAGCGCAACCCUCGUUCUAUGUUGCCAGCGGUUCGGCCGGGAACUCAUAGGAGACUGCCGGGGUCAACUCGGAGGAAGGUGGGGAUGACGUCAAAUCAUCAUGCCCCUUAUGUCUUGGGCUUCACGCAUGCUACAAUGGCCGGUACAAAGGGCUGCAAUACCGUAAGGUGGAGCGAAUCCCAAAAAGCCGGUCUCAGUUCGGAUUGAGGUCUGCAACUCGACCU